GAUGAACGCUAGCGGCAGGCUUAACACAUGCAAGUCGAGGGGUAUAGGUUUUCGGACCUAGAGACCGGCGCACGGGUGCGUAACGCGUAUGCAAUCUACCUUUCACAGAGGGAUAGCCCAGAGAAAUUUGGAUUAAUACCUCAUAGUAUAUCGAGUUGGCAUCAACAUGAUAUUAAAGAUUUAUCGGUGAAAGAUGAGCAUGCGUCCCAUUAGCUAGUUGGUAUGGUAACGGCAUACCAAGGCUACGAUGGGUAGGGGUCCUGAGAGGGAGAUCCCCCACACUGGUACUGAGACACGGACCAGACUCCUACGGGAGGCAGCAGUGAGGAAUAUUGGACAAUGGGCGCAAGCCUGAUCCAGCCAUGCCGCGUGCAGGAUGACGGUCCUAUGGAUUGUAAACUGCUUUUAUACGAGAAGAAACACUCCUUCGUGAAGGAGCUUGACGGUAUCGUAAGAAUAAGGAUCGGCUAACUCCGUGCCAGCAGCCGCGGUAAUACGGAGGAUCCAAGCGUUAUCCGGAAUCAUUGGGUUUAAAGGGUCCGUAGGCGGUUUAGUAAGUCAGUGGUGAAAGCCCAUCGCUCAACGGUGGAACGGCCAUUGAUACUGCUAGACUUGAAUUAUUAGGAAGUAACUAGAAUAUGUAGUGUAGCGGUGAAAUGCUUAGAGAUUACAUGGAAUACCAAUUGCGAAGGCAGGUUACUACUAA
rnacentral:rRNA from 1 species